UACUAUCAAGAUCUCCGAGCCUGCCCCCCCUACGGAGGUUGCCUUUAAGGGGACAGGCCUCAGGGUUGCAUUGGAAACGGUGUGGCCUCCCAGUCUUGGAAAGGAGAUUCUUACCAUGCGCU
rnacentral:ncRNA from 22 species